rnacentral:miRNA from 13 species
CUUCACAGCCCUUCUAAACAAG